rnacentral:misc_RNA from 1 species
UUUCCGUAGGUGAACCUGCGGAAGGAUCAUUAAUGAAUUAUAGAGUGCUCUUCUUAAUUGAGAGGCUCGACCUUCAUUCUUCUACACUGUGCACUAUUCUUUUAUUUGGUUGGAUUGGUAGUUUGAGAUUCAUUUCUCUCACGACAUCUGCCAAAUAAAUCAUCCUUAAACACUACAAGUCUAAGAAUGUAUACAAAAUUAAAACAAAACAAAACUUUCAACAACGGAUCUCUUGGCUCUCGCAUCGAUGAAGAACGCAGC